rnacentral:rRNA from 1 species
GAUGAACGCUAGCGGCAGGCCUAAUACAUGCAAGUCGAACGGAGUGGAGCAGCAAUGCUUCACUUAGUGGCGCACGGGUGCGUAACGCGUAUGCAACCUACCUUUUAUUGGGGGAUAGCCCGAAGAAAUUCGGAUUAAUACCGCAUAAUAUCAUUUGAGGGCAUCUGAGGAUGAUGAAAGCUUUGGCGAUAAAAGAUGGGCAUGCGUGUCAUUAGCUAGUUGGUCGAGGUAACGGCUCACCAAGGCGACGAUGACUUGGGGUUCUGGGAGGAUGAUCCCCCACGCUGGUACUGAGAUACGGACCAGACUCCUACGGGAGGCAGCAGUAGGGAAUAUUGGGCAAUGGCGGAAACGCUGACCCAGCCAUGCCGCGUGCCGGAUGAAGGCCUUCUGGGUUGUAAACGGCUUUUACCAGGGAAGAACCUACCUUUGCGAAGGGAACUGACGGUACCUGGUGAAUAAGCACCGGCUAACUCCGUGCCAGCAGCCGCCGUAAAAC